CAGAGUUGCAAAACUCCCAAACCCUUGUGAACCUACCUAACUGUCGUUGCUUCGGCGGGCAGCCCCUGGGAGGGGCCGCGCCUCUCGCGAGGUGUCCGCCGGAGGACCACCAAAAACUCUUGAAUCUAUGGCUUCUCUGAGUAAUAUACCAAAUAAGUUA
rnacentral:misc_RNA from 1 species